rnacentral:rRNA from 1 species
CCUACGUGGGGCUGCAGUGGGGAAUAUUGGACAAUGGGCGAAAGCCUGAUCCAGCCAUGCCGCGUGUGUGAAGAAGGCCUUCGGGUUGUAAAGCACUUUCAGUGGGGAAGAAAGCCUUGGGGCUAAUACCCUCGAGGAAGGACAUCACCCACAGAAGAAGCACCGGCUAACUCCGUGCCAGCAGCCGCGGUAAUACGGAGGGUGCGAGCGUUAAUCGGAAUUACUGGGCGUAAAGCGCGCGUAGGCGGUCUGAUAAGCCGGUUGUGAAAGCCCCGGGCUCAACCUGGGAACGGCAUCCGGAACUGUCAGGCUAGAGUGCAGGAGAGGAAGGUAGACUUCCCGGUGUAGCGGUGAAAUGCGUAGAGAUCGGGAGGAAUACCAGUGGCGAAGGCGGCCUUCUGGACUGACACUGACGCUGAGGUGCGAAAGCGUGGGUAGCAAACAGGAUUAGAUACCCCGGUAGUC